UACGAAGGGGGACUAGCGUUGUUCGGAAUCACUGGGCGUAAAGCGCACGUAGGCGGAUUUGUAAGUCAGGGGUGAAAUCCCGGGGCUCAACCUCGGAACUGCCUUUGAUACUGCGAAUCUUGAGUCCGAUAGAGGUGGGUGGAAUUCCUAGUGUAGAGGUGAAAUUCGUAGAUAUUAGGAAGAACACCAGUGGCGAAGGCGGCCCACUGGAUCGGUACGUGACGCUGAGACGGCGAAAGCGUGGGGAGCGAACGAGGAAUUGAUA
rnacentral:rRNA from 1 species